GGUGCCCAGGCGCGAAAACUUUACCAUGUUGGCAACAGCGAUAAGGGGACCUCGAGUGCCAGGAUACAAUCUUGGCUGUCGCGAUGCCUAAAAAGCAUUGCAUAGCAAGGGCCGGGCAAGACCGGUGCCAGCCGCCGCGGUAACACCGGCGGCUCGAGUGGUAACCGCUAUUAUUGGGUCUAAAGGGUCUGUAGCCGGCCGGAUAAGUCUUUUGGGAAAUCCAGCUGCUCAACAGUUGGGCUUUCAGAAGAUACUGUUCGGCUCGAGACCGGGAGAGGUGAGAGGUACUUCAGGGGUAGGGGUGAAAUCUUGUAAUCCUUGAAGGACCACCAGUGGCGAAGGCGUCUCACCAGAACGGAUCUGACGGCAAGGGACGAAAGCUAGGGGCACGAACCGGAUUAGAUACCCGGGUAGUCCUAGCCGUAAACGAUACUCGCUAGGUGUCAGCCACGGUGCGACCGUGGUUGGUGCCGUAGGGAAGCCGUGAAGCGAGCCACCUGGGAAGUACGGCCGCAAGGCUGAAACUUAAAGGAAUUGGCGGGGGAGCAC
rnacentral:rRNA from 1 species